GGGGCGCGGGGCCGCGUCCCUGAGCGGCGCCGGUCGAGGCAGACCGCGACCCGCCGCCUGCGGCAGCGUCCUUCCGUCCGUCGCGGGGCUCCGCUGCCGGGCUGCCCGCUGCUGCCGUCGGCGUCCCGUCGGCGUGGGGGCUCGCGGGGGCAGCGCGCCCUGAGCCCUCGCCGGCCUGGUGGAAGAGGCCGCCGUCGGCCGCGCCGCCCUUUUGGAAAGAGCCCGCUUUUAGAGAAACCGCCUGGAUUUGAUCCUGGCAAAUCGACAGGGACCGCUUGCGAGGGACAAACGGGGAACGACGACGACGGAGAGGAACGAUCGGGGCGCUCGGGAGCUGGUGUCCGCGCGCGGCUGCUGCAAACUCCCCAGGCCUCGCCGCCAGGGUCGCGGGCUGAAAGAAGACACCGAGUUUAUUUAUACAGAACAGCAUAAAAAGUUGUGUGUAAACAUCCGACACAUCGACUGAUAAGGGAAUGACUUCUGGCUGUCGUGGCUUUACUCCGCGCCCGACCACGGUUGCUCUCGUGGAGGGCUGAUGGACGCACUGGAGCUCAAAGCCAAAUUUUGGCAAAUGCUUAAGACAGCGUGUGCCCGUGGAAGGCACCGAAAUGGGGAGGACUCAUUGGUAACGCUUCCGGUCUCUUUGCCUGGAUUAUCAGCUCCGCAGGGGAGAAAGACUUGGUAUUUCUAAUUCCAGAUUGCUCCUGAGUGUCAUGGCACUCUGGACAUUUUUGAAGAAAAUACAGAAAUAUUGCCCAUAAAAUGGUGUGCUGGCUGGCUUUGUGGGCGAGGAAGGCUUUGAGAGGGAGCGAGAAAUGCUUAAUGCACAGGGAAGUGCCCCGGGGUAAGGUGAUACCUAGAACAGUGCUGCCAGGACUGGACCCUCCCAGCAAAAUGUGGAUCCUACAACUUGCCUAUCUUGUGUCCGUCCUGUCUUGCCUCAUCCACCUCCGACGUCCCUCCAGUACUGACUGAUAUUUCUGUGGUCUGAAAGCAGAUCUCAGUUAUUUCAGUGUUUCUGUUCCUCACGCUAAUUUCUCGUGCGCCUGUGCCUGCCUUCUAGGUAUAUGCAACCCUAAGCUGACGGCUAAGUCGUCAUGUGCAAAUGUCAGAGGCAGGGAGCUUCUGCUAAAGUUAAAACAUGCGACUUCAUGGUUGGUUUUAUGACACUCAUUUGGUACUUUUCAUUUUUCUCUGCCUUGAUCUCUCUGUUCAUAAAAUGAAGAUGGCUCUUUCCAGAUCUGAUCCAUUAAAAAGCAUAGUCUGUAUCAUUACUUUCAGCUUAUCUAAAUUAGGGUUUGGUUUUUUUUAACAAGGAAACGUAAGAUGAAGGACCGUUUCAGGACUCAGCAUUGCUUAAAUGACUAUGAAAUUAGCGCUCUGCACCAUUUAUUUAUUUUUUUUUCUACAAAAUAAAGGCAAUCCUACAAUUACUGUGGCCAGCCUGUGAUGGCAUUUCUCUUUUAAUAUAAGCAUCACCCAGUUAGGCCCUUCUCUAGGAUUACUACUGACACGUAUCACUUAACAGUAUUGGUCUCUGAAAAUGGCAGAAGUCAUCAGGACGUCGUGUUUUAUGGAAAGCCUGAAAUUUCAUUGCAAGCCUGAGAUUAUUCUUCCAUUUACACAUGGCAAAUUAACUGCAAGAGUGUGAUGGGGAAAGGAAGUCCAGCAGUCGGGGGAUGGAAACACCUAUGUUGUUGCAAAUCAAAAUGCAGUUACCAUAUACCGACAGUGUAGUGCAGUGCUCAAUGCCUGGUGGACCGUAUUUGAAGAUGUCUGGUUGUGAAUGUGGAAUUGGUCAUGUGAAGUGUUGAAAUGCUGAGAGUAGGCUUUGGGAGUUUAAGCACUUCCUGAAAACAGCUGGAUUUCAACAAAAAGAAAUUGUAAUGAAAAAUAGAAAUGAAGCAGAAGUAUAGUUUCCUUUUGUGCUGUUUUUAUUUUCAUUCUGCAAAGCAAAGCACAGUUUUCUAGCUGAAAUUAAAUCAUGUCCUUUAAUUUCAAAUUGCCAACUUCUUUUUUAUUGACCUGUGAAAAAAUAAACAUUUCUGAAAAAAUUGGGGAAUGAAACGAUUAGCCUGUCUUAGCAACAGGCUUAUGGAAAUCACCCACUGAAAAUAAGGGAAUUACCCUACCCUGAUGCUGAAUAUUUGUACCCUUGCUACUGUUUAACCAACAGCACCAGAGAAGAUAGAAAAAUUAAGAUUUAAACCAAGUCAGAGACCUAAGAAGGAAGCUAUUAAACUACUUUGUCAAGAAAAUAUUUUGAGGGGCAGCAAAAGGUUGCUUUGGCAAUAUAUAAUACUUUUAACUAAGCCUCUCUGACAGUUUAGCAGCAAGAGCUGAAACUUCUCUGAAAGCCUUGGGCGAGAGGACGAGCUUCCCUGCGCUGCUGAGGGGCCUCGGUGCCCGCUGGGCUGUCGAGAGCAGACCGUUCCCGCGCCGCUGCUGGCGGGGCCAACCGCCCUCGCCAUUGCUGCGGUAACAACAUGGUCAGGACGUGUGGCAGAGGUGUCCGUUACACGUCUCGUGUUUGCCGCCAGCUUCACAAUUUUUUCUCGUUUUUUUUUCUACUGGCAGAAUCGCUGAUGCACUAGCAGCUUUGCUCGGCCAUGCAUGAAGCCAAUAGACUAUGGAGCUCGCUCCGCUCGUGGGUGCGGAGCUUGAGGCGCGUGCUAGUUGCACCGCUGGCAAAAACCUUGCCAUCACUGUAACAAGAGAGCAGUGCUCAGCCUGCUCGGGAUGCUCAGCUGCUGCCCCCUUUGCACCACUGCUCGCAUGGCCGGGUGUUUGCCAUUAAACGAGGUGAUUAAUGCGAGUUGCUCUCCGGCCUAGCAGGCCAGCGUUUCCUUUCCACGUCUGCCGCUGAUUUGAGGAAUGCAGCUUUAUAGAUUUUUACUAAUUAUCUAAUAGGUUUGCAAUCUCUCCUUUCAGAACAUGGAGUUGGUGUUAAUUAGUUGCAGGUCUUCAGCAUGCCAUUCUUAGCUGAUUCCACUAGUAAGUAUGUUUAACACUUGCCUUGGUUUCCUGUACAUGAGUCACUUGGCUGGCAAGUGAUCCAUCUUUGUUACUGUCAAAGUCUUUGAGCUGGAAGAGGACUUUAAUCAUGUUACUUGGUUCUUCUGAGCGGGGAGAAGAAAUGAAAUCAAAUACUAAUGCAAUCAAAGAAAAUACAUUACCUGGCUUUUUUUCACCAGUAAAAAAUCGCAUACACUUCAAUUUUCCAUUUAUUUUCACAAAGAACACACUGGAAACAUCUAUUGAGCCAUAUAAGUGAAACUGAAACAGAGAAACAAAAACAUCUUUUAAAGACGGAAAGAAGGCACUUUCCCAGCUUAUGCGUUAAUUAAGACCAGUCAAAGAAAACUACUUCAAAGGCAGAAGGAAGCCAGCGGUAAGCAAGACUGCAAUGGCUUUUAUUAGGAUAAAGCAAUGACAUGCAUAGUAGACAAAAUCAUAGCAGGCAUUAAUGCAACAAUGGCAGUUCAAAGGCUACACUGGAAAAAUUGGAGGCAAAACUGAAAUUACUGAAUAAUAAAAUUGUUUCGCUGGCAGAUUUGUUAGCAACAAAAUGGGACAAAGGAACUUGUUUAGCCAAAGAGAACUUCUCGAGAACUAUAAACACUGAUGGUUUAAAGAUAAAAGCAAAGACCUUGAGAGCAAGACAGAAGUAGGCAUAAAAAUAUGCAUACCUGGUUUUCCUGAAGGUCACGCUUUUGAACCUUCCAACUCCCUUAAUCUGAGAUCAGCAGCAGCUAUAAAUUUUUUCAAGAUAAUGAUGACUAUAAGGAAGUCUCCCAUCAUCAAGGUUUCGUGCUAUUUUUGGAGGCUCUUGUUUUCCACAUCCCCUUGACAUCCUUCUCUGCAUCGUCAUCUGGAGAGAUUGACUCAGCCUCUUGAACCUAUUCACUAGUCUCUACCAUAUACAUUCUGGGAUCAUUUUAGCCCUUUUCCAUACCAACAUUUCAGAGGCUCCAGUGGAGCUGCCUGCUCAUUUUUUCCUACUUCCUUGUCAGUUUGCUAAUUUAAAUUCAAACAUACUUAUGGGCAUAUUACUAGAGUAAAUGACAUAAACAAACUAGCAGGACUUGCUGCUUGCCAGCAGGUGAACUGCCCUGUACUCAGUUCUUCUCUCCGCAAAGAAAAAAUAAUGUUUCUACAGUCUAUCUCAUCAGCUUGGUUAAUCUCAAUGCAAUAUUGGGAAAAAUAAAUUUGAUCUUUUCUUGAUGAAUAAACAAUUUAGAGCACUUAAAAAAAUCUUUUUAGGAUACUGGAGAGAUUGUGUGGUUGUUAAUAGGCUGGUAACAUUGGUCAAUAUGAAAACAUUAGCAGAAAAAAAGCCUCAUCUGUUAGUCUCGCCUGCAGAUGGUCUAUCUCAUUGCAUUAGAACAGCAGAUGUGAUCACUGGAUUGAAGUUUGCUCUGAACUGUUAGCAGUAAUACUUUCUGUAAUGAAAGAUUCAGUGAAAAAUUAUUAUAAAUGCAUUUGAUUGCCUAUAUUCUUGGCAUAGCUCCUGAGAA